rnacentral:rRNA from 1 species
UACGGGGGGGGCAAGCGUUGUUCGGAUUUACUGGGCGUAAAGGGCGCGUAGGCGGCUUUAUAAGUUACUUGUGAAAUCUUGAAGCUCAACUUCAAGCGGCCAAGUGAUACUGUAGAGCGUAGAGUGCGGAAGGGGCAACUGGAAUUCUUGGUGUAGCGGUGAAAUGCGUAGAUAUCAAGAGGAACACCUGAGGCGAAGGCGGGUUGCUGGGCCGACACUGACGCUGAGGCGCGAAAGCUAGGGGAGCAAACAGG